rnacentral:lncRNA from 1 species
CUCAUAUCACAGUAUGCUGUCACUCAAUGAAGAGACAACAAAAGAAAACAGAUUAAAGUCAAGAAACUUGGGGAAAUGACAUCAAACUAAGAGAGUAUUCUCUAAGCUGGCUAUACUUUGAGUGUCAACCUGGAACAUACCCGUGGAGAGCAAAACUAAGAAACAGCAACAGGUAAAUGAUGGAAAAGCUUACACUCAAAGGAGCAUGGACUUAUGGCUGGAUGAUGUGGACAGUGGUCCACAGGACUUUCCCAUCUGCAUGAGCAAUAUGCCUGCAGCCUGAGACUGAAGUCCCCUACAGAGAUCCACUACUGAGAUGAGUUACCUUCACCUCCUCCUUCAUUUAUGUACAACCUUGGGCUCAGUCUUCUUGAAAACCAAGGAAACAGUGGUAUUUCCUUUCUCUCACACAUGCCCAUACAACUCUUAACACCCAUCUUCUCAGAGGAAAGGAAAAGAAAUAUAAUGAACUUGAAACUGAAUCUCCAGAAGCAAAGGCUCUGGAAAGUCUUGAAGAGAAAGAAAAAUAGGAAAACAUAAUCUGCAGUUUGGAACUAUCCGUGUGCGAGGAGCAACAGCUGUGUUUCAAAUUACAAAGGGGAAGGUCUGAAACCACCAUUUCCAAGUGCCCAGCUAAUGUCAUUGGAAAUGACAGCAGCACAUUUAUUCAUAAACACCCUCUCACUUACUCUUCCCUUUCUUACUAAAAUGCUGCAACUAUAGAUGAACAGUAAAUAUACUCUACCCAAAACCCAUACAUGUACAUCUACAAGCAUGCUUAUAUCUAGAGAGAAUAAAAGAGAAAACACUUAGAAGCCAGCAUAAAUGUGUUUAUAUAAUACACAAUGUAUAUAUAACAUGUUGAUAUCAACUUACCACUUCAUCCUAGUAGCAGAUCUUAAUAAACAAAAUUUAAAAUAAUGUCUGUACUUCACAAUAAAUUGCUAUCAUUUUCAUGUCAAUAAAUACAUACUCAAUAUUUUACUGACGAGUACUAUAAUCAUGUUGAUUUAUGGGGUACAGUGUGAUGUUUUGAUACAUGUUUACACUGUAUAAUGAUCAUAUUACUGUAGCUAACAUGUCC